GAUGGAACUUGAAAAAUCUUCCCAGACCUGUCUAUUUGAAUGAACCAGAGGCACCUUCGAGUCAAUGAACACAAAGCUGAAUUUCAAUUCUAAUCCCGCUCCCACAUCCCAGGUACAAGAUGUUGUCCCUUCAAGAUCUGUUGAAGGUAUUAUAAAAUGUUAAAUGAUUACAAAUGAGUCAAGGAUUUGGGAGGCCGGAGAGGGGUUCACCUCUCUCUUCCUUCCCCACUCAUCUUUCCCUCCCUAAUCUGUGUGGCAGCCUAGAACUAAGAAUACACUUACUCACCCCUUCCCCUGGCACGCACAUCUGUAAGCCUGCUGGUCAUAAUAAUGCACACUGGAGUCUGUGAGAUAAGAGGGUGGAGAGAGCCUGCAGCGCCUUGCUCUUUUGAGUGAUUCUUAGCCUGGCUCUCCCUGCCAUUAACUUAUGAGUGGCAUUCAGUAAGAUCCAGGCUAAACUGGUAAUAACUAGAGUAAAGAUGCUGGCAACCAAAGCUACCUUGUCGUGCAUUUCUUCAUCAGUUGUCACAGACUAGACCUGGGCAAGUGAGCCCUGGAAAGAUUUUCCUGUCUUUCUUCUCCAUCCCUUUCAGAGACUCCAUUGCCAAGAACCUGCUGCUACAGCUGGGCAGUCAUAAUAAACCUUCAAUCUCUUUUCUUUCUCUCCUUUUUUUUCCUUGCUCCCUAACAAUAUACCUAGCAUCUGAUUACAUCUGAAGCAGCCUCCACAUGAAGCAGCCUCCACAUGGGCACGACUGAACCUGUUUCCUCAGGCCCACCCACACUGUU
rnacentral:lncRNA from 1 species